GACGAACGCUGGCGGCGUGCUUAACACAUGCAAGUCGAACGGUGAAGCCCAGCUUGCUGGGUGGAUCAGUGGCGAACGGGUGAGUAACACGUGAGUAACCUGCCCCUGACUCUGGGAUAAGCCUUGGAAACGAGGUCUAAUACCGGAUACGAGACGCUCGUGCAUGCGAAGUGUCUGGAAAGAUGUAUCGGUCAGGGAUGGACUCGCGGCCUAUCAGCUUGUUGGUGGGGUAACGGCCCACCAAGGCGACGACGGGUAGCCGGCCUGAGAGGGCGACCGGCCACACUGGGACUGAGACACGGCCCAGACUCCUACGGGAGGCAGCAGUGGGGAAUAUUGCACAAUGGGCGCAAGCCUGAUGCAGCGACGCCGCGUGAGGGAUGAAGGCCUUCGGGUUGUAAACCUCUUUCAGCAGGGAAGAAGCGCAAGUGACGGUACCUGCAGAAGAAGCGCCGGCUAACUACGUGCCAGCAGCCGCAGUAAGAC
rnacentral:rRNA from 1 species